rnacentral:rRNA from 1 species
ACGAACGCUGGCGGCGUGCCUAAUACAUGCAAGUAGCACGCUGAAGGAGGAGCUUGCUUCUCUGGAUGAGUUGCGAACGGGUGAGUAACGCGUAGGUAACCUGCCUGGUAGCGGGGGAUAACUAUUGGAAACGAUAGCUAAUACCGCAUAAUAGCAGUUGUUGCAUGACAACUGUUUGAAAGGUGCAAUUGCACCACUACCAGAUGGACCUGCGUUGUAUUAGCUAGUUGGUGGGGUAACGGCUCACCAAGGCGACGAUACAUAGCCGACCUGGGAGGGUGAUCGGCCACACUGGGACUGAGACACGGCCCAGACUCCUACGGGAGGCAGCAGUAGGGAAUCUUCGGCAAUGGACGGAAGUCUGACCGAGCAACGCCGCGUGAGUGAAGAAGGGUUUCGGAUCGUAAAGCUCUGUUGUAAGAGAAGAACGAGUGUGAGAGUGGAAAGUUCACACUGUGACGGUAGCUUACCAGAAAGGGACGGCUAACUACGUG